UUUAAAAAGUUAAAGCAAGAAAAAAAAUCUUAAUGCUAAGGAGGAAGGAAAAAAGAGUAUCUACCUGUUCCUGGAUCACUUUCAGACAGGUAGCUCCAAUACUGCUUAUCCAUUAAAGAUUUCUCAAACUUUGUUUUUAAAAAACAUUUAUUGAUCCCUUAUGCUCUACUAUAUGCUGGAUCUCAGUGAUUAAUAAGCCCAUUAGGAGCCCAUCUGUUAAGCACCUCUAGGAACUCCUCCUGAUACUACUGGAGAAACAUAGAAACCAAAUACCUCUUUUCAGAGUUAUUCCAGCAGAGAUUAUAUCCUGUAUGUCUUGUACACUGUGUUGAAGUGUGUGGACUUUAACCUUAAAGACAAUGGGAAACCACUGAAUAGUUUCUAGUUGAGAAGCAGCAGGAUUAGAUGUGUGUUUUGUAUCAUCUGUCUGGCUGCAACAGGGAUCACGAAUUGGAAUAACAAAACCGGAGGCUGUAAGACCAGUCCAAGGCAAUUGGAGCUAUCUAGGUAAGAAAAUGAUGAGGGCUGGAACCAGGGAGGUGGUUUGGACAGCAAGUUAAGUAUACAAACUGGAGAUGUUUCAAGGGAGGCCAAAUAGAUAGGCCUUGAUGAAUUAGGGAUGUAAAGGAGAGAGAGGGAGCAGUCAGAAUGACUCCCACUUCUAAUUAGGCAGAUGGGUGGGUGCUAAAGUAGUCACCGAGACCACAAAUAAAGGUGAGAGAAUUGGGUUUGGGGAUGGGGGUGGAAAUGAGUUCAGAUUUGCAGAUGUUGAGUUUGAGGUCUCUGUGGAACAUCCUGGAGAUGUACAUCUGGCAGCUGGAUAUACAAUCCCAAGCACAUAACAGCCUCUCAGUAAGUAUUUAUAGAAUGAAAGAAUAUCAGGAGGAGAAUUAUAGGAAGGGACAUGUAUAGGGAGAGGGAAGGAAAAGAAGAGAAGGUCUGCAGCUCAGGAGACAGAUCUAUGCUUGGGAUAUAAAUUUCAUUAUCCUACCGGUGGCACUUGAAGCUCUGGACAUAGAUGAGAUCUUGCAGGGAGAGUGUACAGCAAGAAAAGAUGAGGGCUGAGGACAGAAACCCAGCACAGACAUUUGAAGGACAGGCAAAGAACAAGUCCUUCAAAGAGACCAGGAAAAGGUGUCCAGAGAGAUAGGAAGAGAUGCAGGGGAAAGGUGUUUGCCCAAGAACCAACGGAGCAAGUUUCCUCUGGAGGAGAAGGGAGUCAAGAGGAAAAGAGAAACACCUAACAUUUUUUGAACACCUGCUUUAUGCCAGAAACUUUAUUUAACCUUUACCAUUUAUCCCCUAAUUCUAAGAAGUGUGCAUUAUCCCCAUUUUACAGAGGAGAACGUUAAGAUGCAAAGAUGUCCUGGCAGUCAGGUGAAAUGGUUAGCCUAGGAAUGGUAGAAAAAUGGCUGUCCUGAGGCAAGAGGGAAGGGGGCAGACAUAAAAGCAUGAAGGUAGAGAGGGGACAGCUGAAGGUGUUCAUGUUUGAAGACCUAGUUUCUUUGUGCUCUCUUCUACAGCUCUACCUCAUACCUAGGACCCAAGGAAGGUACUGACAAAGCGGAAGCUGCCUUAAAGGAUGAGACACUCCCAUCUUUUUGUCACCUGUGACCAAUACAGAUUCUAAAAGAUUCUAAAAGACCAGAGGAAGGUGGGAAUUACAGCUUUUCGCUCAGGUGGCCACACUGUCAGCUAAAAAUCAAGUGUCCUGUAACUACAGAAGAAAGAGAACAAGUCCAGCAAUUUCUGCUAGUGAUGCUGAAAGAGGUGUGCAGACAGCUGUAGUAUAAGACAAGAAUAAAAGUAUGACAAAGAGAUGUACGCUUACUAAUUCUGUGACUACAGGUUAACCUGUGUCUCAGUUUCUCACUUAAAAGUUUUAUUUUUAAGUCCUUAGAGUAGUCCUUGACUCUUAAGUGCUAUAUAGACAUUUAUCAAAUAGAAAUAAGUGGAGGAAAAAUAAGCACAGGCUAAUGGGAGUAUACACAUCAGUGGAGACAGUCUGAAAAAGGUGUUCUGAAGCAUGUGGACUAUCAGCUCUGUGGUGGCUAGGAUGACUGCCUUUCCUGUGCACCCCAGCACCUAGUGUGGUGCCUGGCUCAGAGGAGAUGCUCAAAGUGUUGGCUGCUGAACAGGCUUCACGUCAUUACUAUUUUGUCAGGUGAAAUGGAGGCCGGAAAGAUAUUUUAGGUGGAAUUAACCAUAUGAACAAAGACAUAAAGGGUGAACCUGUCACAGUACUUAAUGUGCAUACAACUCAGUAUAUGUCGAUUGAACGCUCAGAUUGAGUAGUUUGGUUUGGCUGAAAUGUAUCAGUCAGGUUCAGACAGAAAAACACAUCACUCUAGAGAAUUUAAUACAGGGAAUUGUUCCACAGGGAACAGAAAUGCUGAAAGUGUUGGCAACUCAGAUACUACAACAGUAGGAAACCUGUCACCCCUAGUGCCAGAGGGACAAUGGGAGAUGGUGUUACCAGAACCUGGAAGCCCGAGUCAUCUGGCUGGUGGGGGCUUGGAACAUGGUGGGGCCGCAGCCCAAACCAAGGCAGAAGAGAGAACUACCCUGGUUUCUCUCCUCCUUUUGCCCCUAGGUCUUUUGUGUCUUACUGGGAAGCCAGUUGGCAAGGGAAUCUGGAAAAUGGAGCUUCCUGCAAUCCAGACACUCCAGAGCAGAGGAGAGAAGGAGCUGUGAAAAGAGCUGAGAGAGAAAUAGGCAAAAAACUAGCACAAGUGAAGUUAGGGCAUGAGCAGGGAAGCAGUGAAUAUAAACCUGUGGCGGUGUCAUUUUUUGGAGGGGCUUGAAUGUCAGGUCUUGAAUUUAGGGCUUUCUGUGUUUCAUUAGGCAGAAGUGAGCCAUAGAAGAUAAAAAGCAGUAUGGCCCCAUUAAAACUGUUUAAUGGGGAGGCUGGGGGAGAAAAGGGAAAUACAAAGCUUCCCUUUGAGUACUUGUUACUUGCUAGGCACAGUGCUAAUUUUUAUUUAAUCAUCUCAGAAAGAUGAUGUGCCUGUUUCUAGGUAUGUUAAUUUUGAGGUAACUUCCUAGUACUUCAUAUGGGUAAUUUGCACAGUUAAUCUGAAAUGUGAGUCUGCAACAGAGGGUGGGAGAUACAGAUGUAAGGAUGGAGACUCUGGGGUGUUCUGAAGAGGUGAGAGCAGAAGUUGAAGGAGCGAGAGGACAAGAUACUCAAGCCAAACAGUAUAAAGAUGAGGGCAGGCAUUAGGGAAACCACUAAGUGGUGGAUAGAGUAAGAAAAUAAAGAGCAGGGAAGCAAAGCAGAAAAGCUGAUCUUCUUGUAGAAGCAGAGAAGCUCAAGCCUCAAGAAGGGGGGAAGAUCAGUAGUGUCAAAUGACAUUGCUUGGUUAGAAGGGAUGAAGACUGAGGGAAAAACUGACUAUAGCAGUAAGGAGGUAGGAAGGAACAGUUUCUCUAUUCUGGUGGGGCCAUGAGCUAAGGCAGUUUUCAUCAGAUGGCCGUGAGUAAUUUAGUGAAGAAGUAAGUAGUUUGCUAAGCCUAGGCGUGAAAGUUGGGUUUUGGGAGAACAGAAGUGUCCUUUAUCUCCUGUGUGCUCUUUGGUUAUAGAGGCUGCAUUAGCUGCACUGCUGUACCCAGUGCUUAUGUAAUGCACAGGGCUCAAUUAUUAGUGUUAGCUGACUUGCAGGAUGAAUGAAUUUGGCAGGAAGUAUUUAAAGUUAAAUAAAUGCAUUGUGGAGUGGCAGUGAAAACCCAGAAGAGGGUCAAUCCUUUCCUGAAUCUCAAUAAUAUAGACUGAUAAUAGUGUUUUCCUCGACUGGGAUUGGUAGGUGAAGAGUAACAGAAACCAAAAAAGACUAUUAAGAAUAAAGAGACUAGUGGGGCAUACAGACUUUUUGAAAUAUUUGAUGAAUUGGGUCCAGAUUUGUUAGGGAGAAAAAUGUAUCUUCAUGGGGAUAGAGGAUUCAGAGAAUGAACGGCUGAAAGGCUUGAGAUCAUUUCACAAUGUUUAGUGGGCGAGAACCAGGCAUCAGAAUUUUGAAACCAUCAUAGGUAAUUCCAAAGUGCAGCCAAGGCUAAAUUGGAGAGAACUGAAGGGAAGGCUAACAGGAUAAUAGAUUUGGGUAGUCUAAGAAUCUUGACCACUGAAUUCUCAAAUAAUGAGUCUAAGGCCAUGAUGGUGAUUCAUUAAAGUGAACUGGAAAUGAGGGUAACUGGAAUUGAUAAAAUUGAGCUUGAGGAACUAUAGUGCCAUCUUGAUUUGAAGGUAUAUCUUGUAUCUCCUCCUAGGAAUUCUCUUUGCACAAACUUAUGUAAUCUUACAUUUCAUAGUUCGAGAUGUCUCAUUUCUUUGAUAGAGCACUGAUCUGCUUGUAAAAUUUAAUUAUAGGUCAUGGUAUUGACCCUACUUCUUGGGAGCAUUUCUCCACUUUAAAAACUAUGUGACAAUGAGAAGAACUGCACUUUACAUUUUAAUUAGAUGCUUGGGGAAUUGGUUAAUUAGAAAGCCCAUUUUGUUUCAACCCUUACUGAAAACUUUCAAUAAAGAUAUUAAUCUAA